rnacentral:rRNA from 1 species
AUUGAACGCUGGCGGCAUGCCUUACACAUGCAAGUCGAACGGCAGCACGGGUGCUUGCACCUGGUGGCGAGUGGCGAACGGGGGAGUAAUACAUCGGAACAUGUCCUGUAGUGGGGGAUAGCCCGGCGAAAGCCGGAUUAAUACCGCAUACGAUCUACGGAUGAAAGCGGGGGACCUUCGGGCCUCGAGCUAUAGGGUUGGCCGAUGGCUGAUUAGCUAGUUGGGUGGGUAAAGGCAUAGCAAGGCGACGAUCAGUAGCUGGUCUGAGAGGACGACCAGCAACACUGGGACUGAGACACGGGCCAGACUCCUACUGGACGCAGCAGUGGGGAAUUUUGGACAAUGGGGGAAACCCUGAACCAGCAAUGCCGCGUGUGUGAAGAAGGCCUUCGGGCUGUAAAGCACUUUUGUCCGGAAAGAAAUCCUUGGUCCUAAUAUGGCCGGGGGAUGACGGUACCGGAAGAAUAAGCACCGGCUAACUACGUGCCAGCCGCCGCCGUAAAAC